rnacentral:rRNA from 1 species
AGUGAACGCUGGCGGUAGGCCUAACACAUGCAAGUCGAACGGCAGCGCAGUAAGAGCUUGCUCUUACGGGUGGCGAGUGGCGGACGGGUGAGGAAUACAUCGGAAUCUACUUUUUCGUGGGGGAUAACGUAGGGAAACUUACGCUAAUACCGCAUACGACCUACGGGUGAAAGCAGGGGAUCUUCGGACCUUGCGCGAUUGAAUGAGCCGAUGUCGGAUUAGCUAGUUGGCGGGGUAAAGGCCCACCAAGGCGACGAUCCGUAGCUGGCCUGAGAGGAUGAUCGGCCACACUGGAACUGGACCACGGUCCAUACUCCUACGGGAGGCACCAGUGGGGAAUGUUAGGCAACGGGCGCAAACAUGGUCCAGCCAUCCCGCGUGGGUGAAAGAGGCCUUCGGGUUGUAAAGCCCUUUUUUUGGGAAAAAAAAGCAGCAGGUUAAUACGCAGCUGUUCUGACGGUAACCAAAGAAUAAGCACCGGCUAACUUCGUG